GCUAACUAUGUUGUCUUUUAACAAUAUAUAUUUCCACUCACACAGGCAACUUUGAUACAGGCAGGCCACAGUCAAACGUGGAUCGUCUACAUCUACCCUGAGGACAAGGUUGAAGGCAGGUGUGCAGUGCAGCUGUGCGUGAUGACAUGAGUGAAGUGGUGGAAAGACAGGGCCACAGCUCAGCAUCAGAGAACCUGAAGGAUGAUCCUGCAUGCUUAUCAUUGUGACUGUCUCAUCGCUGGGCAGGACCCCACAGCUGGCACCUGGGCGCUAAGGACCAUGUCAUUUCUCAGCAGGAGAUAGCUAGCCAAGAAUGUUGUUAGAUUCACAGUCUAUACAGACAUGUAGACACCUAACUGUCAGCACAUUUUAUUGUGAUUUUGAAAAUGUUGUGUUUGCAUAUACUUGAAUAUAACUGCAAAUAUCAGAGUGCAGUGAAAAAGCUGUAUUAGAGUGUUUACAGAGUUGAGUGACAUAUUGUAUAUCAACCUAUGUCAAUUUAAUUAAACAAUUGCCUGUUUUUUCUUAA